AUUCGGUUCCUCUUUCCCUGUGGCGCGGGGUUUUCCACAUGGUCAGCAUUCUCUCUCAGAAACAAAAAGAUGGCAGAAAAAAUUGAAGAGAAGUUCCAUGUUGCAUUUCUCACGAGUUCUUCAGGGCAGCUUCGAAGUAGCAGUUAUACACGCCUAUGGUGGCGCUCGGAUUUUCAGGGAGUUACGCGAGAAGAUGGCGAGUCAGGUUUCUACCACGAUCAGUCAGAUGAAUUCACAGCUGGCCGUCGUGUAUCUUCGUAUCCUCCGGUGUACGAAGGGGACGAAUGUUUUACUUUCUCCGAAAUUUUGGACGCAGUUGAUGACCUCAGCUCCCGUCUCCGUCACAUAUUGGAUGGCGGUGACGAUCCGAACUUGGUUAGACCAAAAGGAAGUGGUAUUCUAUGAGGAUGGUGAACCUAUAAUAGAUGGAAAAUCUUGAGAUCUGAAGUUCCACAUUUGUACUACACCACAUGAGCGAUUCAGAAAGGAAGGCAAUGAUCGUUACAAUAACACUGGAAUUACUAAACCUAAAGAAGUGAUGAAAUUCAAAGGCCAAGGAAUGCCGUUGCAUCUUAGCACAAAGAAAGGAGAUCUAUAUGUGACCUUCGAGGUUCUGUUCCCUAGUUCCUUAAUAGAAGACCAGAAAACCAAGAUCAAGGCGGCCCUUGGUUAAGUUUGGGAAUCCCUUUUUUGUUCCAAUAUGUCUUGAUUGUACCAUGAUGAGAUCAAAUGGAAGGUGCAAGCUGUCGUAGGGAUAAAGAUGCUCAUUAUAUAAUUCCUUGAAGUUCCUGAUACCAACAGGGCUGUUUUCCAUUGCAUUAUUUUUUCUCACAAUAUAUAUGUUUCAUUUUUGCUCUAAUAUAAUAUUCUAACAUGAAAGUACAUUGAGGAAAGUAAACUUAGCUUUGCCUUAGGACUGUACCUUCUACUUGUGCUUUGCAUUGAGAAUGAACAUGAUUUCACGGUGAGGUUGUUGUAAAUGUCUCCUACUAAUGACCCAAGACAAAUAUUAAGUACUGUAGGUCUAAUGUUGAACCAAUUUGUUCCCUUACCCUC